rnacentral:rRNA from 1 species
UACGUAGGGUGCAAGCGUUAAUCGGAAUUACUGGGCGUAAAGCGUGCGCAGGCGGUGAUGUAAGACAGUUGUGAAAUCCCCGGGCUCAACCUGGGAACUGCAUCUGUGACUGCAUUGCUGGAGUGCGGCAGAGGGGGAUGGAAUUCCGCGUGUAGCAGUGAAAUGCGUAGAUAUGCGGAGGACACCGAUGGCGAAGGACAAUCCCCUGGGCUGCACUGACGCUCGAUC